rnacentral:rRNA from 1 species
CCUACGGGAGGCAGCAGUGAGGAAUAUUGGUCAAUGGACGCAAGUCUGAACCAGCCAUGCCGCGUGCAGGAAGACGGCUCUAUGAGUUGUAAACUGCUUUUGUACGAGGGUAAACGCAGAUACGCGUAUCUGUCUGAAAGUAUCGUACGACUAAGGAUCGGCUAACUCCGUGCCAGCAGCCGCGGUAAUACGGAGGAUUCAAGCGUUAUCCGGAUUUAUUGGGUUUAAAGGGUGCGUAGGCGGUCGGAUAAGUUAGAGGUGAAAUCCCGAGGCUCAACUUCGGAAUUGCCUCUGAUACUGUACGGCUAGAGAGUAGUUGCGGUAGGCGGAAGGUAUGGUGUAGCGGUGAAAUGCUGAGAGAUCAGACAGAACACCGAUUGCGAAGGCAGCUUACCAAGCUACUUCUGACGUUGAGGCACGAAAGCGUGGGGAGCAAACAGGAUUAGAUACCCGGGUAGUC